rnacentral:tRNA from 1 species
ACAGCAGUAGUCUACCCCAGAUAUCUGAUUUCGACCCAGAAGACCUUACCCAUUAAGCUGCUACA